CCUACGGGAGGCAGCAGUGGGGAAUAUUGCACAAUGGGGGAAACCCUGAUGCAGCGACGCCGCGUGAGUGAAGAAGUAUUUCGGUAUGUAAAGCUCUAUCAGCAGGGAAGAAAAUGACGGUACCUGAUUAAGAAGCCCCGGCUAACUACGUGACAGGAGCCGCGGUAAUACGUAGGGGGCAAGCGUUAUACGGAUUUACUGGGGGUAAAGGGAGCGGAGAGGGUGGCACAAGGCUGGAGGGAAAUGCCGGGGGUUAACCCCGGAACUGCUUUGGAAACUGUGCAGCUAGAGUGCAGGAGGGGUAAAUGGAAUUCCUAGUGUAGCGGUGAAAUGCGUAGAUAUUAGGAGGAACACCAGUGGCGAAGGCGGCGUACUGGACUGUAACUGACGUUGAGGCUCGAAAGCGUGGGGAGCAAACAGGAUUAGAUACCCCAGUAGUC
rnacentral:rRNA from 1 species